rnacentral:rRNA from 1 species
UACGUAGGGUGCGAGCGUUAAUCGGAAUUACUGGGCGUAAAGCGUGCGCAGGCGGUUCGCUGUGUCCUGUGUGAAAGCCCCGGGCUUAACCUGGGAAUGGCAUGGGAAACUGGCGGGCUGGAGUGUGGCAGAGGGGGGUGGAAUUCCGCGUGUAGCAGUGAAAUGCGUAGAGAUGCGGAGGAACACCGAUGGCGAAGGCAGCCCCCUGGGCUAACACUGACGCUCAGGCACGGAAAGCGUGGGGAGCAAACAGG